ensembl:lncRNA
AAGACUUCGAUUGGCUAGGCCUCAGUCACGUGCUCAUCUCUGGACCAAUCACUGCAAGAGCAUGGGAGGGGCACCGUGACUGGUCAGGCCCAGGUCACGUGCGCAGCCCAGUGGUCAGAAGGGAGGUGAGAGGGAUGGACAGCCCCACCAGAACCACCAGGAGAAGGGCAGUUCCUCAAAGGAAGGAAAACUGGGCGGAUAAAAGCAACAGAUGUCCAGUCUUGCUAUUUUCUGACAUUCAGUGAGAUAGAUGUGAUCAUCCCCAUUUUAUAAUGAGGAGCUGAGGCCCGGAGGGUAAGGUGUCCUGUCCAAGGUUCCAUGGUCUAUGAGUGAUAGCAACGUGAGACCUGAGAGUCUAGGUCACAAAGCCGGCCACGUCCGUCUUCCCCCGUCACUGCGUCUCCUGAGGGUGGAGCGAGGUCCAGAGGGCCCUGGAGAGCCCGUCGGACGGCAGACAAUCCACAGACGAUUCUAUGCACGUGAUGAGUUCUGCGAACAGGUGUGAACAGGGACAGAAAGGAAGCAGCCUUGGCGGGAAAUUCCUCUUGUACCGGACGCCACAGAAGGGCAUUCACAUCCCUUGUCUCAAGGGCGGCUCACCACACCCCUGCCAGGUGGCUGUUGUGAUCCCGUUUCAGUGACGAGUGAGGCUGAGCCUCAGAGAGUUUCCAUGAUACCCCCAGGUCACACAGCCAGACGGCGGGGAGCUGGCAGCCAGCUCCAGCUCUGACGUGCACUUUAGAAAGGUCGCUCUCACUGUCAUGUGAAAGAAGGACUUGGUAAGACAGAGAAAAGCAGAGAGACUCAAAUGAUCUUCACAAGGGGGCCAAGAGCAUUCAGUGGGGGAAAGGGCUGUCUUUUCAAUGAGUGGUGCUGGGAAAACCGGAUCUCCACAUGUGAAAGAAGGAAGUUAGUCCCUACCUCACGCCGUACACGAAACUUCACUCAAAAUGGAUCAGGGACCUAAGUGUAAGGCCUAAAACAGUAAAACUCUUAGAAGAAAACACAGGACCAAAGAUUCAUGAUGCUGGAUUUGGUGAUGAUUCCUUGCAUAAGACUCCAAAGGGACAGGUAACAAAAGGAAAAAUAGACAAAUUGGACUUCAUGAAAAUUUAAAAAUUUUGUGCAUUAAAAAUUACUGUCAACAGAGUAAAAAGGUAACUCCCAGAAUGGGAGAAAAUAUUUACAAAUCAUAUAUCUGAUAAGGAAUUAAUAUCCAGAACAUACAGAGAAGUAAAACUCAACAACAACAAAAAACCCAAAUCAAAAAUGGGCAAAUGACUUGAAUUGACAUUUUUCUAAAGAAGACAUACAAAUGGCCGAUAAGCACAUGAGAGAUGAUCAACACCACUGAUCAUGAGGGAGAUGCAAAUCAAAACCGCAGUGAGUACCACCUCACACCCAUCAGGAUGGCUGUUAUAUUAAAAAGCAAACAAAUGGAAAAUAAGAAGUGUUGGUGAGGAUGUGGACAGACUGGAACCCUCGUGCACCUUUGGUGGGAAUGGAAAAAGGUGCAGCUGCUGUGGAAAACCGUGUGGUGGUUCCUCAAAAAGUUAAAAAUAGAGUUACUAUAUGACCCAGAAAUUCCACCUCUGGGUAUACACCCAGAAGAACGGAAAACAGUCUCGAACAGAUAUUUGCACACCCAUGCGCACAGCAGCAUUAUUCACAACAGCCAAAAUGCGGAAGUAACCCAAGUGCCCGUCAACAGAUGAGCGGAUAAACAAAAUGGGGCACAUCCAUACCAUGGAAUAUUAUUCGGCCCUAAAAAGGAGGGGAAUUCUGACACGUGCCACAACACAGAUGAGCCCUGAGGACAUUAGGCUGAGUGAAGUAAGCCACAAAAGGACAAAUAGCGUAUGAUUCUCUUCAUAUGAGGUCCCUACAGUAGUCAGACUCAUAGAGACAGAAAGUAGGAGGGUGGUUGCCAGGGCCUGGUGGAGGGGGAUGCGGAGUGACCGUUUAAGGGGCACAGUUUCAGUUUUACACGAUGAAAAGAGCUGUGGGGGGAGGUGCUGGUUGUACAACAUGAUGACUGUGCUUAAUACCACGGAACUAUGCACUUAAAAAUGGUCAAGGCAGUAAAUUUGAUGUUCUCUGUACACACAACAUAGUGUACACAUAGAGACACAACAGAGUGUGAUGGAUUCACGGAUCUGGAGCCCCACAGCAGGAUGCAGAAACGUAGCUGGGCGUCAUCGACAUGCAGGUGACCACAAGGGCACGAUCUGCACGAGCUUGCUCAUGGAGGCUUUGAGGAGAGAAGAGGACUGAGGUCAGAUCCCUCUAGAGCUCAGCGUUCCUCGGUCAUGCAGCUCAAGGCAGAGGAGGAGGCCGCUCCGGGGAGGCUGCGGGGCCGGUCUCCGCCCUGCCUGUCUUGAGUCGCCCUCCUUCCCUGGUGACCUCCAGCUGCUGUAAAUACGUCUGCAUCGGGACAACUCCACGCCGCGUCUCCAGUCUGGAUCCUUCCCCUUGCUCCAGCCUCAUCCUCCAACUGGAUGCCUGACACCUCCCUGUCCAACACGCUUCUCCACCGAAAUGUCCAGAACGGAAGCCUUGAUUCCUCACCUGCAGACCCUCUCCUCCCACGGUCAGCCCUCUCCUGGGUGAAUGGCGCUUCCAGCCGCCAAGUCGCUGAGAAUGAAACUGGCACCCUCCUUGACUCCUUUAGCAAAUCCUGCAGACUCUACGAAAUACAUCUUGGGUCCGGUCACUUCUCGCCUCCUCCACCAUCACCUCCCUGGUCCAAGCCUCCGCCCCCUCUCGCCUGGACAGGGGAGUGGCCCCGCAGGGUCCCCCGGCUUCGGUCCUGUCCCACGAGGGUCUAUUCGUCACACGGCCACCAGAGGGCGCCCUCUAGAUUCGGAUCUCGCGGUUUCCCACUCACAGCGUCAAUGGAAACUCGGUAGCGGCGCCCCCAGGUCCUGCCGCCCCUCUUCCCGGGGUGCUUCCUUCGAGCCCCACAGGCCCUCUGGCUGCCCUGACGCGCCCCGAGCUCCUCCUGCCUUUGCCCUCGGCAGGCGCCCACCUGCAUGUUCUUCCCCAUCUUUCAGAGCUGGGUCUGCCCUUCCCCUCCCUUCUCCAUCCUUCUCUUCUGUCACCCUCCUUUGCUAUUUUUUCAUGGCACUUUCACCAGUCGUCUUAGCGUUAUAUUCGUUAUCUUGUUUAUCGUCUGUGUCCCCACUGGGAUGUGAGCUCUCUGGGGGCAGGGACGUCGCUCUCCCACUGUCAUUUCCCCAGGGCGAGUUGAAUGGUGACGAGUGCACAGGGGACUUGCAGGCAGGAGGCCAUCGUCCCUCCCCGGGUCUGGGCCCCACGGUAGGUGUCUUCCCCUCCCUGCUCAGCAUCAGAAGCCCCGGCCCACACAGCAUCGGAGCAGGCAGAGCUGGAGGACUGACUCAUGGCCAGAGCACAGGAGGAGGGCGGGAGGAAGGGGCUCCAUGGAGGAGGGAGAGUCAAACCCGAGACCCGCCCACUGGAGGAGAUGGGGGAUCCAGUGGAUGGAGUGGAGAGCUGCCCCGAGACUCCAGGCCUCUGUCACGAGAGCAAAGGCGUGUCCGUAUCUUGGCUUGUUCUGUGCAGUCCGCGUGUGUGCCUGAGGGCUGGCAGGCCGGCAGAGGCUGGGGUCUCCGCUCCUGCCCUUCCGUGAUAGGGUAGGGACUGGGUCAAGGAGUAGGGAGGUGAGUGGUGGGUGCUGGGGGCUCUGGUGAGGGAUGCCGGAUGCUGAGUCUUGGAGGAGAAAUAGGAUCUGGUCAGGCAGGAGGGGGCGGACAGGGACUUCCAGGCGGAGGGCACGCAGGUGCAAGGACACACUGAGUGUAGCUUUGAAGACCUUCCAGGGGUCUGGCCUGG